rnacentral:rRNA from 1 species
GACGAACGCUGGCGGCGUGCCUAACACAUGCAAGUCGAACGGGGUAAAGAGCUUCGGUUCUUUACUUAGUGGCGAACGGGUGAGUAGCGCGUGAGAAACCUGCCUUUCAGUGGGGGACAACAGUUGGAAACGACUGCUAAUACCGCAUAAUGUUAUUUGAGGGCAUCCUCGGAUAACCAAAGAUUUAUUGCUGAAAGAUGGUCUCGCGUCUGAUUGGCUAGUUGGUGAGGUAACGGCUCACCAAGGCGACGAUCAGUAGCCGGUCUGAGAGGGUGAACGGCCACACUGGGACUGAGACACGGCCCAG